rnacentral:rRNA from 1 species
UACGUAGGGUGCGAGCGUUUGUCCGGAAUUAUUGGGCGUAAAGGGCUCGUAGGCGGUCUGUCACGUCGGGAGUGAAACUCGGGGCUUAACCCCGAGCCUGCUUCCGAUACGGGCAGACUAGAGGUAUGCAGGGGAGAAUGGAAUUCCUGGUGUAGCGGUGAAAUGCGCAGAUAAUCGAGGAGGAACGACCGGUGGCGAAGGCGGUCUCUGGGCAUUGACCUGACGCUGGAGGAGCGAAAGUGUGGGAGGCGAACAGG